CCAACCACCACAUAUGUAACAUCCAAACACUUCUACUCCAUAAUUUACAUCAAUACCAAUAUGACGCAGGGUUUUAUGGUAACAUGGCGCCCUGAACCUGUAUAAAAUCCCUUGUGUCCUUGCUUCCUUGUGUGCCUUUGCGUGUGGAUUGACAAGGCAUUUUAGCCCCUGGUCGAGCUCACAAAUAUAGGAUAUCCUUGACCCCUGGUGCCUGAAGAACACACUCCGACACAAACCCAUAGUGACAUAUGAGCACACAAAGUCUCCUAGACAAUGCCUUCAAGAAAAUAACAGCCACUCAUACACCAAUGUUGGUUGGUCUAACCACAUGCCACUCACUCAACCAGAUGGUUGAGUAGAUGCUGCCUCUCAUAAUCACACACCAAUAUGAAUCAUUUUUAUUGUCCAUUUGAUUUUCCACCAAAAGAGACACAUCAGGGAGUCAGUUCAUUUAGCUUUUUGGGUAGAAUUUUGGUUAAUUCAUUUCAGUAGUGCGACAAUUUCACGUUUUUGCUCUUGUUUGCCUUUAUGUUCAUAAUCCGGCAAAUUCAGAUCCACGCCGUAUGGCAUUUUUGUUCAUGUUGAACGACAAUUUUCUGGUCAUGUUAAAUGGCAAUUUAAGAUCUAACGAGAUGGCAAAAUUUAUCUUCUCCUGUUUGAAUUGUAGAUUUAGGUUUACACGAUGUCAAAUUAGGUGUUUGGCAUACCCUCGGGUGGAUGGCUUUGUAGGGAUAGCAUAGGGAUAGGCAUGCUCUAUAUAGCAAAUUUUUUUCAAAUUUGACAUGUGGCAUGUAGAACUGUUUUGCCACAUAUGUUCCGAUUUCCUACUUUUUGCCAUGACCUAUGUAGACAUUUCCAUAUGACUUGCCAAGCAAGUACUACACCCCCACCCUCCCUAUAUUUGCCUUUUUUAAAGAUGAAAAAUGAUAUGCAUGGUCGCUAUGGUGUGUAUAUAGUUACAUAUUGUCAAAAAAAUAUUUUGCCAUUAUAAAUUGUUGUCGUUAAAAAACUGAAAUACACC
rnacentral:lncRNA from 1 species